rnacentral:rRNA from 1 species
AACGGCCUACGGGGGGCAGCAGUGGGGAAUAUUGGGCAAUGGGCGCAAGCCUGACCCAGCAACGCCGCGUGAAGGAAGAAGGCUCUCGGGUUGUAAACUUCUUUUAUCAGGGACGAAGCAAGUGACGGUACCUGAUGAAUAUGCCACGGCUAACUACGUGCCAGCAGCCGCGGUAAUACGUAGGUGGCAAGCGUUAUCCGGAUUUACUGGGUGUAAAGGGCGUGUAGGCGGGAAAGCAAGUCAGAU